rnacentral:tRNA from 1 species
GGAGAGGUGGCUGAGUGGUUGAAAGCGCUGGUCUUGAAAACCAGUAGAGGAGAGAUCCUCUCGUGAGUUCAAAUCUCACCCUCUCCG